rfam:Spizellomyces punctatus DAOM BR117 chromosome Tnknown supercont1.4, whole genome shotgun sequence.
GCCUGCUUAGCAUAGUGGUAGUGCGUCUGCCUCGUAAGCAGAAGGUCGCGUGUUCGAUCCACGCAGCAGGCA